AAUGGGGGAAACCCUGACGCAGCAACGCCGCGUGAGUGAUGAAGGCCUUCGGGUCGUAAAGCUCUGUCAGAGGGCAAGAAAUGUGGGCGGCUAAUAUCCGUUGCACUUGACGGUACCCUCAGAGGAAGCACCGGCUAACUCCGUGCCAGCAGCCGCGGUAAUACGGAGGGUGCCAGCGUUGUUCGGAAUUAUUGGGCGUAAAGCGCGUGUAGGCGGUCUUUUAAGUCUGGUGUGAAAGCCCCGGGCUCAGCCUGGGAAGUGCAUUGGAAACUGGGAGACUUGAAUACGGGAGAGGGCAGUGGAAUUCCUAGUGUAGGAGUGAAAUCCGUAGAUAUUAGGAGGAACACCGGUGGCGAAGGCGGCUGCCUGGACCGAUAUUGACGCUGAGACGCGAAAGCGUGGGGAGCAAA
rnacentral:rRNA from 1 species